AUUGAACGCUGGCGGCAUGCCUUACACAUGCAAGUCGAACGGCAGCACGGAGCUUGCUCUGGUGGCGAGUGGCGAACGGGUGAGUAAUAUAUCGGAACGUACCCUAGAGUGGGGGAUAACGUAGCGAAAGUUACGCUAAUACCGCAUACGAUCUAAGGAUGAAAGUGGGGGAUCGCAAGACCUCAUGCUCGUGGAGCGGCCGAUAUCUGAUUAGCUAGUUGGUAGGGUAAAAGCCUACCAAGGCAUCGAUCAGUAGCUGGUCUGAGAGGACGACCAGCCACACUGGAACUGAGACACGGUCCAGACUCCUACGGGAGGCAGCAGUGGGGAAUUUUGGACAAUGGGCGAAAGCCUGAUCCAGCAAUGCCGCGUGAGUGAAGAAGGCCUUCGGGUUGUAAAGCUCUUUUGUCAGGGAAGAAACGGUGAAAGCUAAUAUCUUUUGCUAAUGACGGUACCUGAAGAAUAAGCACCGGCUAACUACGUGCCAGCAGCCGCGGUAAUACGUAGGGUGCAAGCGUUAAUCGGAAUUACUGGGCGUAAAGCGUGCGCAGGCGGUUUUGUAAGUCUGAUGUGAAAUCCCCGGGCUCAACCUGGGAAUUGCAUUGGAGACUGCAAGGCUAGAAUCUGGCAGAGGGGGGUAGAAUUCCACGUGUAGCAGUGAAAUGCGUAGAUAUGUGGAGGAACACCGAUGGCGAAGGCAGCCCCCUGGGUCAAGAUUGACGCUCAUGCACGAAAGCGUGGGGAGCAAACAGGAUUAGAUACCCUGGUAGUCCACGCCCUAAACGAUGUCUACUAGUUGUCGGGUCUUAAUUGACUUGGUAACGCAGCUAACGCGUGAAGUAGACCGCCUGGGGAGUACGGUCGCAAGAUUAAAACUCAAAGGAAUUGACGGGGACCCGCACAAGCGGUGGAUGAUGUGGAUUAAUUCGAUGCAACGCGAAAAACCUUACCUACCCUUGACAUGGCUGGAAUCCUUGAGGGAUCAGGGAGUGCUCGAAAGAGAACCAGUACACAGGUGCUGCAUGGCUGUCGUCAGCUCGUGUCGUGAGAUGUUGGGUUAAGUCCCGCAACGAGCGCAACCCUUGUCAUUAGUUGCUACGAAAGGGCACUCUAAUGAGACUGCCGGUGACAAACCGGAGGAAGGUGGGGAUGACGUCAAGUCCUCAUGGCCCUUAUGGGUAGGGCUUCACACGUCAUACAAUGGUACAUACAGAGCGCCGCCAACCCGCGAGGGGGAGCUAAUCGCAGAAAGUGUAUCGUAGUCCGGAUUGUAGUCUGCAACUCGACUGCAUGAAGUUGGAGUCGCUAGUAAUCGCGGAUCAGCAUGUCGCGGUGAAUACGUUCCCGGGUC
rnacentral:rRNA from 1 species